GAUGAGCGCUGGCGGCGUGCCUAAUACAUGCAAGUCGAGCGAACGGACGAGAAGCUUGCUUCUCUGAUGUUAGCGGCGGACGGGUGAGUAACACGUGGAUAACCUACCUAUAAGACUGGGAUAACUUCGGGAAACCGGAGCUAAUACCGGAUAAUAUUUUGAACCGCAUGGUUCAAAAGUGAAAGACGGUCUUGCUGUCACUUAUAGAUGGAUCCGCGCUGCAUUAGCUAGUUGGUAAGGUAACGGCUUACCAAGGCAACGAUGCAUAGUCGACCUGAGAGGGUGAUCGGCCACACUGGAACUGAGACACGGUCCAGACUCCUACGGGAGGCAGCAGUAGGGAAUCUUCCGCAAUGGGCGAAAGCCUGACGGAGCAACGCCGCGUGAGUGAUGAAGGUCUUCGGAUCGUAAAACUCUGUUAUUAGGGAAGAACAUAUGUGUAAGUAACUGUGCACAUCUUGACGGUACCUAAUCAGAAAGCCACGGCUAACUACGUG
rnacentral:rRNA from 1 species